rnacentral:lncRNA from 1 species
CAGUGUCACCAUGAUCUCAUCGAUACCCUUCUCCAUGCCUUUCAACCCACACAUGUAGACGUAGGUGUUGUCCUUCUUCAGAAGCUCCCACAGCUCCUCCUUGUAUUCCGCCAUCCGGGUCUGGAUGUACAUCUUCUCUCCCUGAGCGUUGGUCUGCUCUCUGCUGACAGCGUAGUCCACGCGGAAAUUAUUCGGCGCUUUCGUCUUCAUCUUCUCAAACUCCUAAAUAAUGUUUCGCAAAAUGCAGCGCAGCUAUGGAGGUUAAGUAUCACAUGAAAAGGAAAAAGAUUAGCUUGUGAUGAAGUGCUCAUGAAAACAGCAGAGAUCGAUGUACUGACAUCCGGGUAGAGCAGCGAACUGCUCGUUGGAACUCCCAAGAAGAGCCAUGCAAGACCGUUGAACUGCACAAGAAUGUAAUUCAAACUUGUUGCUUCCAUGUUCACCGUGGAUUUUAGUUGGCGAUAUGAAGAUUUUGAUACGUACCUGGUAGUCGUCAUGCUUCUCGAAGAACAUCUUCCACAGGAAUGAGCGGAAUGGAGCAAUACCGGUA